rnacentral:rRNA from 1 species
AGGGUUCGAUUAUGGCUCAGGACGAACGCUGGCGGUGCGCCUUAUGCAUGCAAGUCGAGCGAAGCUUUUUGGUAGUUUACUACUAGAAAUGACUGAGCGGCGAACGGGUGAGUAACGCGUGAGCAAUCUACCCUAGUUACUGGGAUAGCCCGAGGAAACUCGGAUUAAUACCAGAUAUUCUUAUUUUUUCACAUGAAGUUUUAAGGAAAGGUCAGCCGAACUAAGAUGAGCUCGCGUUCUAUCAGCUAGUUGGUGGGGUAAAAGCCUACCAAGGCUACGACGGAUAGCUGGUCUGAGAGGACGAUCAGCCACACUGGGACUGAGACACGGCCCAGACUCCUACGGGAGGCUGCAGCAGGGAAUAUUAUGCAAUGAACGAAAGUUUGACACAGCGACACCGCGUGUGGGAUGACGGAUCUAGGUUUGUAAACCACUUUCAGGAGGGAAGAAAAUGACGGUACCUCCACAAGAAGCCCCGGCCAACUACGUGCCAGCCGCCGCGGUAAUAC